GCCACAUUGGGAAUGAGACACGGCCCAAAUUCCUACGGGAGGCUGCAGUAGGGAAUCUUCCACAAUGGGCGAAAGCCUGAUGGAGCAACGCCGCGUGUGUGAUGAAGGCUUUCGGGUCGUAAAGCACUGUUGUAUGGGAAGAAAAGUUAAGGUAGGGAAUGACCUUAGCCUGACGGUACCAUACCAGAAAGGGACGGCUAAAUACGUGCCAGCAGCCGCGGUAAUACGUAUGUCCCGAGCGUUAUCCGGAUUUAUUGGGCGUAAAGCGAGCGCAGACGGUUGGUUAAGUCUGAUGUGAAAGCCCGGAGCUCAACUCCGGAAAGGCAUUGGAAACUGGUUAACUUGAGUGCAGUAGAGGUAAGUGGAACUCCAUGUGUAGCGGUGGAAUGCGUAGAUAUAUGGAAGAACACCAGCGGCGAAGGCGGCUUACUGGACUGUAACUGACGUUGAGGCUCGAAAGUGUGGGUAGCAAACAGGAUUAGAUACCCUGGUAGUCCACACCGUAAACGAUGAACACUAGGUGUUAGGAGGUUUCCGCCUCUUAGUGCCGAAGCUAACGCAUUAAGUGUUCCGCCUGGGGAGUACGACCGCAAGGUUGAAACUCAAAGGAAUUGACGGGGACCCGCACAAGCGGUGGAGCAUGUGGUUUAAUUCGAAGCAACGCGAAGAACCUUACCAGGUCUUGACAUCCUUUGAAGCUUUUAGAAAUAGAAGUGUUCUCUUCGGAGACAAAGUGACAGGUGGUGCAUGGUCGUCGUCAGCUCGUGUCGUGAGAUGUUGGGUUAAGUCCCGCAACGAGCGCAACCCUUAUUGUUAGUUGCCAGCAUUCAGAUGGGCACUCUAGCGAGACUGCCGGUGACAAACCGGAGGAAGGCGGGGACGACGUCAGAUCAUCAUGCCCCUUAUGACCUGGGCUACACACGUGCUACAAUGGCGUAUACAACGAGUUGCCAACCUGCGAAGGUGAGCUAAUCUCUUAAAGUACGUCUCAGUUCGGACUGCAGUCUGCAACUCGACUGCACGAAGUCGGAAUCGCUAGUAAUCGCGGAUCAGCACGCCGCGGUGAAUACGUUCCCGGGUCUUGUACACACCGCCCGUCACACCAUGGAAGUUUGUAAUGCCCAAAGCCGGUGGCCUAACCGUAAGGAGGGAACCGUCUAAGGCAGAC
rnacentral:rRNA from 1 species